rnacentral:rRNA from 1 species
UACGUAGGAUGCGAGCGUUGUCCGGAUUUAUUGGGCGUAAAGAGUUCGUAGGUGGUUCGUUAAGUCUGGUGUAAAAGACUGGGGCUCAACCCUGGGAUCGCACUGGAUACUGGCGGACUGGAGUGUGGUAGAGGCAAGCGGAAUUCCCAGUGUAGCGGUGAAAUGCGUAGAUAUUGGGAAGAACACCGGUGGCGCAAGCGGCUUGCUGGGCCAUAACUGACACUGAGGAACGAAAGCUAGGGGAGCGAAUGGG